rnacentral:rRNA from 1 species
GUCCUCUUGUUUUAUAUAUGAGGUCUGACCUGCCCAGUGAAAAUUAUUUUAACGGCCGCGGUAUUUUGACCGUGCAAAGGUAGCAUAAUCAUUAGUCUUUUAAUAGGAGGCUGGAAUGAAGGGUUUGACGAGGUAUUAACUGUCUCAUUUAAUUUGAAAUUAAAAUUUAACUUUUCAGUUAAAAGGCUGAAAUUGUAUUGGAAGACGAGAAGACCCUAUAGAGCUUUAUAUUUAAAAUUAAUAAUAAAUUUUUGUUUAUUAUUAUUUCUUAUUAUUUUAAUUAUUUUGUUGGGGUGACAAAAAUAUAUAAAUAACUUUUUUAUUUAAAUAACAUUGAUUUAUGAUUAUUAGAUCCAGUCUUAUUGAUUGCUAGAUUAAGUUACCUUAGGGAUAACAGCGUAAUCUUCCUUCAGAGUUCAUAUUUACAGGAAGGAUUGCGACCUCGAUGUUGGAUUAAGAUAAUAAUUAGGUGUAGCCGCUUAAUAUAUAGGUCUGUUCGACCUUUAAAUUCUU